rnacentral:lncRNA from 1 species
CUAAGCAAGAGCUGAGAGGGGUGCAUUAUGUUUCAGGGAUAAUAUGUUGCUAAUUAUAUUUGUUUUGAUGACAACAAUUUAUAUAGUUUGAAGUUAAUUUUCAUGUAUUCCUUACAGGGACUUGUAUAUGAGUGUGAGGGUAAGAUAGUUGGGUGAUGCAACAAAGUUAAAUGAUAGGAAUUUAGUUAAAGUGGAAGUUUAUGAUUUAUGACCAUUAUAAUCAAAUUCUUUGUGCUCAUGUACUAUGACA